UACGUAGGGCGCAAGCGUUGUCCGGAAUUAUUGGGCGUAAAGAGCUCGUAGGCGGCUUGUCACGUCGAUUGUGAAAGCCCGGGCUUAACCCCGGGUCUGCAUUCGAUACGGGCAGACUAGAGUGUGGUAGGGGAGAUCGGAAUUCCUGGUGUAGCGGUGAAAUGCGCAGAUAUCAGGAGGAACACCGGUGGCGAAGGCGGAUCUCUGGGCCAUUACUGACGCUGAGGAGCGAAAGCGUGGGGAGCGAACAGG
rnacentral:rRNA from 1 species